UACAGAGGUCUCAAGCGUUGUUCGGAUUCAUUGGGCGUAAAGGGUGCGUAGGCGGCGCGGUAAGUCGGGUGUGAAAUCUCGGAGCUUAACUCCGAAACUGCAUUCAAUACUGCCUUGCUGGAGUACUGGAGAGGAGAUUGGAAUUUACGGUGUAGCAGUGAAAUGCGUAGAUAUCGUAAGGAAGACCGGUGGCGAAGGCGGAUCUCUGGGCCGAUACUGACGCUGAGGACGAAGCGUGGGGAGCGAACAGG
rnacentral:rRNA from 1 species